UACGUAGGUGGCAAGCGUUGUCCCGGAAUUAUUGGGCGUAAAGCGCGCGCAGGUGGUUUCUUAAGUCUGAUGUGAAAGCCCACGGCUCAACCGUGGAGGGUCAUUGGAAACUGGGAGACUUGAGUGCAGAAGAGGAUAGUGGAAUUCCAAGUGUAGCGGUGAAAUGCGUAGAGAUUUGGAGGAACACCAGUGGCGAAGGCGACUAUCUGGUCUGUAACUGACACUGAGGCGCGAAAGCGUGGGGAGCAAACAGG
rnacentral:rRNA from 1 species